GCGCUGUACAGUGCCUGUGUAGCCAAGGCCUUAGAAAAUGUUUCCUUUGUUAUAGAACAGAUCAGACCUUUAGGUGCUACCAUAAUUACUGUGAAAUCUGUUUUAAAUAUCUAAUUUAAUAUCACCAUGCUAUCAAUUUUCAAUCAAAAUAGGUUAAAUAGUCCUAAGAAGUAAGACAUAAAUGCACAAAAAUCUCACUUUUGAAGUAGGUACUGUGAGUCCCUAUAAAUUAGUAUAUUUACUACCUGAACUGUAAAAAGGACCUAUAGAAUGCUUGUGGCUUUGUACAAAUAGUAUCCCACAUAGUCUUCUAGGUCUCUUAGUAAUUUAUAUAAUCCCCCAUCUCCAUAGCAUUUGAAUACUUCUGUUCUUAAAUGACUCAGGGAUGGGGAUAAGAGAUGUGAUUUAAGUUUUGAAAACUUUAGAAAGUGUCCCCAUUGCCGGCAGUUCAGGAAAGAAGAACUAAAGGUCCACUUCGCAAACCAUUUAUUUGUCCAACAUAUACAAAUAUAAGUUUACUUUUCAAGUCAGAGAAAAAGUAGUCCAGGUGGAAAGUCAGUUUUAAAAUACAUAGUUUUUAAAUUAUGUAAAAUUUAUAAAAACUGGCACAUACCGAUAGAACAUUGACAAAACAUUUUGACACACUUUAAAGCAGCAGAAUGAAGACAAUUGCACAACUAAUACAUCAGUUUGAAAUAGCCAAUAUAUGUGUGAAAGAGAAAUAUUUACUGCUAUUGUAUUUUUUGUUUGUGUUUGUUACUUCUGUCAACUGUGUAGCACUGCAGCAGUUAUGAAAUGUUGAUCACAAAUAGAAAACACUCCACCAUCGUUACAUCUAAUAGGCUAGCAACAACAAAGUGAUUAAUAAUCAUCUGCUGAAAUUAAAUUGCAUUCUGAGAGCUAGAAGCUGAAGACUCAUUUUUGAAGUAAAAAGCCACUGACAGGUUCUCUUUUAUAAAGUCAAACUGAGUUUAAAGAGAAUGUGAUCUUAAUGUUGAGAUACUUCUCUGUUAAAAUCUUAUUCUUGGUAACUUGAUAGUGGACUCUAGAGGCUAAUUGUUAUUUUCAGGAGAUGGUUAUUGAGACAUUCCACCAAGUAAUAUUAGUAAUAAUAAAACUAAAAACAAAUGUGAUGUAUGUUUUUAAAAUGUGACACAGUACUUUUAUAUCUUUUAAGGUUUUGUUUUUUUUAAUCUUCUUAAAACUUGACAGAACACCAGCCAGUACAACAAUCCAGUUCCUGAAAACUGAGUAGUGUUGCAACACAGCCAAGACCUAUGGCUUCCAAAGUCAAUCCCAUACAAGCAUUGAUACCAGCAUUCACUAUACAUAGAAACAAAUACAGACAUAGGUCCACAUAUCCAUAUGAUGGCAUUCAGCCUGAACUGCCAGGGAGGCAGAACCACAGCUGUCCAUCUAUCAAACCCAUUAAUAUAUAUCUGUGGACUUGUAUUCUUGAAGAAAGGAAACCUAUGGAUAAACAGCACAAAUUUUCUUAUUAACCAAACAUCUUGAUGUUACAUCUGUUUAUGGUGUUUUAAAUAAGUUAAAGCUGUUUAACAUAAGAGUAAUAGCUCUGUAUAAUUUCAUUUUGGGGGAUUUUUAGGCUAAUGAAAAGGAAAGCUUAUGCGCUUCCUCUACUUUUGUCUGUGACCAAAACAACAUGAAUGCAAUUAACAACAUGUUACUUUUUGCAUUAGUUGAUUAAUCUUCCCUAUUUUUUAAAACUUAAAUAAAUCGAUGUACAUUAAUGAAAAAAAAGCACCCUAAUUCAAUAUAAUCAGUUUUGGAAAAUUCUACCAUGCCCACCUCUGUAAAAUGUUUUUUUUUUUAACUGAACAUGCAAAAUGCUAGGUUUUCUCAUUACCACUAUGCUUUUAAGUAGAUAUUGUCCUGCAGCUGGUAAGUAUUCAUGACAAUGGGGCAAGGCUAAAAUAACUAUCAAAGAGAAAAUGUCCUUAUGGAUAAACUACAUCCUGCAGUUACACAGAGAGUGUAUGCUAGUCACGAAUAGUGCAAAUCUGUUGCUUUUUAAAUGGCUGCCAGAUUUUACCUGCUUUACAUGUUAUAAUUGAGGAUGCCCUUAUCUAAAGUUUCUUUCAAGUCUAGUAGCAAUGAGAAAUUACAAUGUUUGUGGUAUUCCUACACAAGAGUUCUCCUUCUGCUGGAUCUGUAGUAGAUUUACAAAAGCUUCUCCCACAUCUGCUAAUACUGGUGCCCAAAUUUGGCAGGAACCAACCAUCUUACUUUCAGUGCUACUGGAAAUAGGGAGAAUCCAUUUAUCAAAUGAAAGGUAAAUUUUUUAUAAAAAAAUAUUUUCAUGCAUCGCAGGGGAUAUAUAUAAAAAGAACUAAAACACAAAAGGGAUCAGAUCUUCAUCUAAGCUUUAGCCAAAGGACAUAU